rnacentral:rRNA from 2 species
GAUCCUGGCUCAGGUCGAACGCUGGCGGCGUGCCUAAUACAUGCAAGUCGAGCGGCUCUCUUUGGAGCUCAGCGGCGGACGGGUGAGUAACACGUGGGCAACCUGCCUGUAAGACUUGGAUAACUCCGGGAAACCGGAGCUAAUACCGGUUACUAUGUCAAACCGCAUGGUUUGACAUUCAAAGACGGUUUCGGCUGUCACUUACAGAUGGGCCCGCGGCGCAUUAGCUAGUUGGUGAGGUAAUGGCUCACCAAGGCGACGAUGCGUAGCCGACCUGAGAGGGUGAUCGGCCACACUGGGACUGAGACACGGCCCAGACUCCUACGGGAGGCAGCAGUAGGGAAUCUUCCGCAAUGGACGAAAGUCUGACGSAGCAACGCCGCGUGAGUGAUGAAGGUUUUCGGAUCGUAAAACUCUGUUGUCAGGGAAGAACAAGUGCCGGAGUAACUGCCGCAMCUUGACUGUACCUGACAC